rnacentral:rRNA from 1 species
UACAGGGGGUGCAAACGUUGCUCGGAAUUAUUGGGCGUAAAGCGCGCGUAGGCGGUCACCUAAGUCGAAUGUGAAAGCCCUCGGCUCAACCGGGGAAGUGCAUCCGAAACUGGGCGACUGGAGUACCGAAGAGGGUUGCGGAAUUCCCGGUGUAGAGGUGAAAUCCGUAGAUAUCGGGAGGAACACCGGCGGCGAAGGCGGCGACCUGGUUGGAUACUGACGCUGAGGCGCGAAAGCGUGGGGAGCAAACAGG